rnacentral:rRNA from 1 species
GAUGAACGCUGGCGGCGUGCCUAAUACAUGCAAGUCGAGCGAACAGACGAGGAGCUUGCUCCUCUGACGUUAGCGGCGGACGGGUGAGUAACACGUGGAUAACCUCCCUAUCAGACUGGGAUAACUUCGGGAAACCGGAGCUAAUACCGGAUAAUAUAUUGAACCGCAUGGUUCAAUAGUGAAAGACGGUUUUGCUGUCACUUAUAGAUGGAUCCGCGCCGCAUUAGCUAGUUGGUAAGGUAACGGCUUACCAAGGCAACGAUGCGUAGCCGACCUGAGAGGGUGAUCGGCCACACUGGAACUGAGACACGGUCCAGACUCCUACGGGAGGCAGCAGUAGGGAAUCUUCCGCAAUGGGCGAAAGCUUGACGGAGCAACGCCGCGUGAGUGAUGAAGGUCUUCGGAUCGUAAAACUCUGUUAUUAGGGAAGAACAAAUGUGUAAGUAACUAUGCACGUCUUGACGGUACCUAAUCAGAAAGCCACGGCUAACUACGUG